rnacentral:tRNA from 1 species
CAGCCAGUGGCGAAUGGGAUAGCGCGUCGGAUUUCUAAUCCGGGAGGUUGAGGGUGAGUCCCCUCCUGGGUUA